rnacentral:tRNA from 1 species
GGCGCUGUGGCACAGCAGGUUAGCGCCCUGGCCUGAAGCGCCAGCAUCCCAUAUGGGCACCGGUUCUAGUCCCGGCUGCUCCA